AGGUGAAAUUUGGUGUUGUUAGGUAGUUUAAUUUAUAUUUAAAAAUUUUUGAGGCUAUUAAGACCUUGUUAUAAAACAGGAUUAGAUACCCAGUUAUACUAGGUUGAAAUUUAAUUUCUUGAGUAGUAAACAGUUAUAUUCUUGAAACUUAAAGGAUUUGGCGGUAUCUUAGUCUUGUUAGAGGAACCUGUUCUGUAAACGAUAUACCACGAAUUAUCUUACUUUUUUUUGUAUGUCAGUUUGUAUACCGCCAUUAUUAGAUAGUUCUUAUAAGAAUCUAUUACAAUAAUUGUAAUUUAUUAUAUUAGGUCAAGGUGCAGCUAAUAAAAAAGUAGUUAAUGGGUUACAAUGAUAUGUGUGUAUACGAAUUAGGGGUGUAAGGCUUCUUUGAAGGUGGAUUUAAUAGUAAAGUUUAUUUAAUAAGGUAAUUUGAUAAAAGCUCUAAGAUAUGUA
rnacentral:rRNA from 1 species